AGUGCAGUGGAGCAAUCACAGCUCACUGCAGCCUCAACCUCCAGGGCUUAAGUGAUCCUCCACCUCAUCCUCUCAAGUAGCUGGAACUACAGGCAUGCUCCACCACGCCCAGGAAAUCAAAAUAAUUCCUGAAUCUGCUGGCCACUGGAGAGCUGUGAACACUUUCUCUGCCAACAAGGAUUACCCAAUUACCAAAAGCAAACAAAGACAAACUGGCUAUUCAAGUACUGCAAACCAGAUAGGAAAGAUUAUUAAACUAAUACUCCCCUGGAAGAACAAGAGGACUAAUUUUCGGUGACGACAGACUUGUGCUGAUCCAUCAUCUGGAACUCCUAAAGACCUGAAUGGCUGACUGGGAUUAGUGACUACUAUCUGGUUUUACUGGUUUUAUUCUACUAAGCCCAUGAU